UACUUAGGGUGCGAGCGUUGUCCGGAAUUAUUGGGCGUAAAGGGCUCGUAGGCGGUUUGUCACGUCAGGAGUGAAAACUCGGGGCUCAACCCCGAGCCUGCUUCUGAUACGGGCAGACUAGAGGUAUGCAGGGGAGAACGGAAUUCCUGGUGUAGCGGUGAAAUGCGCAGAUAUCAGGAGGAACACCGGUGGCGAAGGCGGUUCUCUGGGCAUUACCUGACGCUGAGGAGCGAAAGUGUGGGGAGCGAACAGG
rnacentral:rRNA from 1 species